GACAACAGUUGUGGCGGUGGGCUAUACUGACCCAUGCACACACACACCCACACCCAGACACACACACACACACACACAAAUAGAGUGAAGUGUUGCUAUAUUACAGACAGUUUUCAAGAAGCACGAAACACCAGCAGCAAGAGAUGCAGAGGCAAGCCUUCACCACAACACUCCACACUGCCUAAUUUUCGUCUAUUAAAGGCUCAGACGUGUAGAUGGAAGCAAUAGGAGGAAGAAGAGGA